rnacentral:misc_RNA from 1 species
AUAAAAUAACAUUCUUAAUU